AACGUAGGAGACAAACGUUAUCCGGAGUUACUGGGCGUAAAGGGCGUGUAGGUGGUCUCGUAAGUCUGGCGUGAAAUUUCUCGGCUUAACCGAGGCAGGUCGUCGGAUACUGCGAGGCUAGAGGACGGUAGAGGCGUGUGGAAUUCCGGGUGUAGUGGUGAAAUGCGUAGAGAUCCGGAGGAACACCAGUGGCGAAGGCGACACGCUGGGCCGUACCUGACACUGAUGCGCGACAGCAUGGGGAGCAAACAGG
rnacentral:rRNA from 1 species